GAUGAACGCUGGCGGCGUGCCUAAUACAUGCAAGUCGAGCGAACGGACGAGAAGCUUGCUUCUCUGAUGUUAGCGGCGGACGGGUGAGUAACACGUGGAUAACCUACCUAUAAGACUGGGAUAACUUCGGGAAACCGGAGCUAAGACCGGAUAAUAUUUUGAACCGCAUGGUGCAAACGUGAAAGACGGUCUUGCUGUCACUUAUAGAUGGAUCAGCGCUGCAUUAGCUAGUUGGUAAGGUAACGGCUUACCAAGGCAACGAUGCAUAGCCGACCUGAGAGGGUGAUCCGCCACACUGGACCUGAGACACGGUCCAGACUCCUACGGGAGGCAGCAGUAGGGAAUCUUCCGCAAUGCGCGAAAGCCUGACGGAGCAAAGCCGCGUGAGUGAUGAAGGUCUUCGGAUCGUAAAACUCUGUUAUUAGGGAAGAACAUAUGUGUAAGUAACUGUGCACAUCUUGACGGUACCUAAUCAGAAAGCCACGGCUAACUACGUG
rnacentral:rRNA from 1 species